rnacentral:rRNA from 1 species
UACGUAGGGUGCGAGCGUUGUCCGGAAUUACUGGGCGUAAAGAGCUCGUAGGUGGUUUGUCGCGUUGUCCGUGAAAACUCACAGCUUAACUGUGGGCGUGCGGGCGAUACGGGCAGACUGGAGUACUGCAGGGGAGACUGGAAUUCCUGGUGUAGCGGUGGAAUGCGCAGAUAUCAGGAGGAACACCGGUGGCGAAGGCGGGUCUCUGGGCAGUAACUGACGCUGAGGAGCGAAAGCGUGGGGAGC